rnacentral:rRNA from 1 species
AUGAGAACACCGUGCGUCUGGGUUUUGAUCCGGCCGUGUCUUCCCACUUCUACGUGUUUAUGUUGCUACCUGAAUCCAGCGAGGACUUAUGCCUCACCAGAGUGGAUGUGUUUUCGUCGGAAACCGGACGGUGGCGGGGCGAAAGCCUUUUUCGGUAAAGAGAAGAGAUGGAACGAGAACUUUUGGCUUGUUACUCCUCAGUACCAACCUAGUGCUUUCCUCAAUGGCUGCAUGCAUUUUCACGCAUUUGGCAGCAUGUCACUCCUUUGUCUGGUUGCAGUGGACACGGAGGGGACAUGGAGGAUCGUCCCUGUCCCUAGUGGUCCGUAUAAUUCUUUUGUUCAGCAGUCACAUGGCUGCUUGCAUUAUUCCAGUUUUCAGAGAAAAAAUGGGGAUGUGGAUCGACUAGUUGUUUAUGUUCUCGAGGACUAUGGCAACAAAGAGUGGACGUUGAAGCAUAGUGUUGAAGCUUCACACAUGUCUGGAGGGACACAUCGUAUUGGUCACCGUUGGAUGUCGAUUCAUCCGGACUGUGACUUGAUCUUCUUCACAGCGGGGCGGGAUACUGAAUUCAUGUCGGAAUUCAUGUGCUAUAAUAUGGACCGUCAGCAAGUAAAGGUGGUCUCCAAUCUUGAAUAUGGAGCCCGACCAUACCUACCAUAUGUACCAUUCUAUGCGUUGUUACAAUCUUUGCACUUGUGA